GACGAACGCUGGCGGCGUGCUUAACACAUGCAAGUCGAACGGAAAGGCCCUGCUUUUGUGGGGUGCUCGAGUGGCGAACGGGUGAGUAACACGUGAGUAACCUGCCCUUGACUUUGGGAUAACUUCUGGAAACUGGGGCUAAUACCGGAUAGGAGCUCCUGCUGCAUGGUGGGGGUAGGAAAGUUUCGGCGGUUGGGGAUGGACUCGCGGCUUAUCAGCUUGUUGGUGGGGUAGUGGCUUACCAAGGCUUUGACGGGUAGCCGGCCUGAGAGGGUGACCGGCCACAUUGGGACUGAGAUACGGCCCAGACGCCUACGGGAGGCAGCAGUGGGGAAUAUUGCACAAUGGGCGGAAGCCUGAUGCAGCAACGCCGCGUGCGGGAUGACGGCCUUCGGGUUGUAAACCGCUUUCGCCUGUGACGAAGCGUGAGUGACGGUAAUGGGUAAAGAAGCACCGGCUAACUACGUG
rnacentral:rRNA from 1 species